CAAUCUGGUGAGUAAAGUGGCGUACGGGUGAGUAACACGUGGAUAAUCUACCUUUUGUGGGGGAUAACCUGGGGAAACCUGGGCUAAUACCGCAUAAGCUCGAAAGAGGAAAGCCCGCAAGGGCGCAGGAAGAGGAGUCCGCGGUCGAUUAGCUAGUUGGUAGGGUAAAGGCCUACCAAGGCAACGAUCGAUAGCCGGCCUGAGAGGGCACACGGCCACACUGGCACUGAAACACGGGCCAG
rnacentral:rRNA from 1 species